rnacentral:lncRNA from 1 species
CCAUCCUUAGUGUUUUAUAUGCCUGAUGAACCAGAAAAUAUUAAUAUGAUAAUUAUAAAAGCUAUCUGCUCUGUAUUGAGUUUGUUCAAAAUGUGUUAGACCCUUAUUGAGAGAUUUAUCAUACUCCUAAGAUCGAGACAUCUAUUCAGAAAGAUUCACUCUUCUGAAGUAUUAUUGCGUUAGAGGCAUGGGCUAUGCAAAAAUAAGGAUAUUUCGAGGAAAUAAAAAGGAGCAAGUGCUCGACAACCUCGC